AUUGAACGCUGGCGGCAGGCCUAACACAUGCAAGUCGGGCGAGUGGCGGACGGGUGAGUAAUGUAUGGGGAUCUGCCUGAUGGAGGGGGAUAACUACUGGAAACGGUAGCUAAUACCGCAUACCAUCAGAUGAGCCCAUAUGGGAUUAGCUUGUAGGUGGGGUAACGGCUCACCUAGGCGACGAUCCCUAGCUGGUCUGAGAGGAUGAUCAGCCCAACUGGGACCGAGACACGGCCCAGACUCCUACGGGGGGCAGCAGUGGGGAAUAUUGCACAAUGGGGGCAAGCCUGAUACAGCCAUGCCGGGGGGAUGAAAAAGGCCUUCGGGUUGUAAAGUACUUUCAGGCGGGAGGCGGUACCGACAGAAGAAGGACCGGCUAACUCCGUGCCAACAACCGCGGUAAUAC
rnacentral:rRNA from 1 species